CAGGAAGGGCCCUCUUUUCUGCUCCUGCUCCAGCAGCACAAUGUGAUCCACCAGCAUGGAGGAAAGCCAAUAAGGCGUCCAAUAAGAUAAGUCUUAUAAAAUAUAUAGUUUAUGAUAGUUAAGACUGAGCUAACAGAUGAGAAUCCUAGUCAUUGGCCAAGCAGCUUUGAACCUAAUACAAGUUUCUGUGUAUUCAUUUGGGCCUAACUCGGGCGGGCUGCUGGCGUAAAGCUCACAUGUGGCGGUGGGGUUCAGGCAGCUUUUGGCGGGAAGAUUUAUCAUAACAGGGGAUUGUUUGUUUGGGUGUUUUUUUUUUUUUUUCAAGACAGAGUCUCUCUGUGUAGACCUGGUUGUACUGAUCUCAAAUUCAGCGAUCCACCUGCCUCUGCCUCCUGACUACACUACUACACGGGGCUGAGGUUGGCUUUUUAACAUCAGUUCUAUGUUUGUGAGUCAGAGUCUUACCAGGACCAAUGGUUACUGCCUACCAAAUGCCAGCAAUAUUUGCUACCUUUCCUAGCAACCACAACUGGCUCGACAUAUUACCAAAUUUCUAUGGAGCAAGAGUUGAGAUUGUCAGGUUGGGGAGUGAAACUGCCCCAGUUAAACACUACUGUCUGGAUGUAUUAAUCUUUGCAUAUAAAAUUCUCUGCUCCUUUCAAGGACAAACAGCUGCUCUGAUUUCUUUUAAGUUGAACUUCAAAACCCCAGGCUGAGUGAGUUCUUGGAAUGAUUUCAAAGUCUGCCUGGCUGCUAUAGUAAUAAUAAUUUACUAGCUACAUGGGGUGAGGGAUCCUGCUUGUGAUCUGAAAGACAGAAUUCAGAGCCAUCAUCUUGGGUUCUAUUACUACCCUACAAUUAACUCCUUAUGUCUCAGUUUCACUGUUUUUCAAGUGAGAGCAAUUGUACCUCACCCACAUUGUAAACAUUUGCCUGUGAGGACAGGAUGAACAAAGCUAGGAUAGUCUUCUAAUAGACACCAAACAAAACACUAACAAGUCUCCACUGUCUGGGGAAAAAAAUAAACAGAAAAACAACAAAACAAAAACACCCAUAGCACAUUAACAGAGGUGUCAGGAUGAUUCAGUGGGGAAAGGUGCUUGCUGCCAAGCCUGAUGACUUGAGAUGGACACCUGUCCAUCACCAUGGAAGGAGGGACUUCUCAAAACUGUCCUACCACUGCACAUGCGCAUCACAUCAUAAAAUUAAUGACAACUUUGAAGUGCUCCAUGUGCUUUCUUAUUUUUAACUGCAGAUGAUUGUCUUACUAGUGUAGGAGUGGGAUUAUUUCCCACUAAAAAACACCAGCAAAUUGCUAAUGCUGAACAGAGAACAAAUGUGAUCUGACAUCUAGGAUGCUUCCUGUAGCCACAGGCUUCAGACAUUCUGAUGUGCUUCUUAGCCCAUGUGGCUGCAGUGACUUUGGUGGUGUCAACAGAAACAAAUGAGAGCCUUGUCAGAGGCUCCAUGGAUGAAAAGCCUAGGACAGAUGAAUCCAAACUAUCUGUGAGUGUGGAUGCUAUAAUAAUUGAAUUAGCUUUAGGAUUUUAGGACCCCAUGGAAUGAGAGGCCAAGACACGAGAGAAGAGUGAAAAGGGAAACUGCAAGAUUGCCAAGAUAAAAUGUCAGUCACUUGAAAAUCUUCCAGGGCAUGAGAAAGUCAAAAUGUUGCUAAUUUUUCUCUUCCUACUUCCUGUACUAAAUGACUUACAUCAAAACUCAGUUUAUUAAGAUCAUCAAAGUCAAGUGAGCCACAGGUUCUAUGAAUAAUUUUAUUGGUAGAAAUAAAGAUUAAUUUCUAGAUUUUCUUUCUUUCUUAAGUAGUAGCUGGAAAGAUGGCUCAGCAAAUAAAAGCACUUGUUGUGAGUUUGAUCCCUGUAACCCACAGUUGACAAAGAAGACAGACUUCCAGAAGCUGUCCUUUGACCUUCGGAUACAUUCCAAAUGAGCACACCAGGACUCAUAUCACACACACACACACACACACACACACACACACACACACACACACACACACACACACCAUAAAUAUAUGUUAAAAAUAAAAGUAAUAAAUGAAACAAGUAAAUAUUUCAUUCCAAUAUAAUCUGGAUUGUGACAUCUGAUUAAGAACUUUACGUGUUUUAAAGCUUUUUUAACAUCGUUUUGGAAACUGCUUCUCUUUAGUUACAAAGCACAUUCUGUGUGCUACCACUUAACACUUGAGCAUAUGCCUAAUGGAAACUGAUACACAUCCUAAUUUUGAAAUUUCCAAAGAAAUGUUUGUAUGCUCUUAAAUUUGUGGAAUCUCUAAAUAGAAGGGUCAUAAUUACAGUGGUUCUGUGUCUUCUCUCUCAGGAUUGCCAUUUGUGCUCUAUCUGUCUUCAAAUGUACUGAGUGUACUUGGAAAUCCCAAAAGCAGUUGUUAAAAUGCUCUUUCUGUAACUUCCCCAGAACAAGCUUUUCCAGUUACUCUACUCCCCCUUACUCAAAGGCCUCUUCUAGUUGCCAUCCCCCCAAAUUAAAUAUUCUGCAUCUUUGCUAGUGACAAAGGUAGGUUUGGUUUUAUGUUUGUAAUUUGACUUAUCAAUUUAGUUGUGUGUCUGGGUGUGUGUGUGGAGGUCAGAGGACAGCCUGAAGGAUAACUAGGUUCUCUCUUUCCACAUAUGAGUCUGGGAGAUCCAACUCAGGCUAUCAGGCUCAGUGGCAAGUGUUUUCAUUCACUGAACCAUCUCAUCAGUCCUGGGUUUUAAAUAUUUUAAAGUAAAUUAUAGGUAAAAACUGCAUUGUAAAAAGAAACAAAAAAAGAAAAACCAGGUGGUGGUGGCAACAAGGUGGUGGUGGCACAUGCCUUUAAUCCCAGUACUUGGGAGGCAGAGGCAGGCGGAUCUCUGUGAGUUUGAGGAUAGUCUGGUCUACAGAGUGAGAUCCAGGACAGUCAUAGUGGUUACACAGAGAAACCCUGUCUCAAAAAAAAAAAAGAAAGAAAGAAAGAAAAGGAAGAAAAAAAGAAAGAAAAGAAACAAACAACCCUAAAACUAUUGUACAUACUUUAAAGCAAUAAUACAGAAUCUAUGUUUCCCAUUAAAAACAAUUUUAUUAACAAACUCUGGCUGCAAAGAUGGCUAAGCAAGUAAAAGCACUUGCUGCCAAGUCUGAGGACCUGAGUUCAAUCCUUGGGACCCACAUAGUGGAAAAAGAAAACCAACUCCUGCAAGUUGUCUUCUGACCUACAUAUGCCCAUGCUGCUCUGGCCUUUCUCUCUCUCCUGCCCCCUCUCUCUCUUACACACACACACACACACACAAAUAACUAAAACUUUUCUUAAAUGAAUAAACUCAAAUGACCUUUUUGUUAUGUGAGACAUAAGCUUUAAUUCAAUCCCAUUAUUCAUUUCUUCCCAAAUAUAUCAACCAACUAGAAGUAUUAAUUCCAUUAUUCAGUGUGCAUCCCAUCAUACCUUACUAUUUACAACAGAGUCUACAAAUAGCCUGUUAGAACCCUGAGUGUGCAGCAGCACAGCCCUGCCUGGCGACUGUAUGCAGCAACGGCAGCAGUUCAACCUGAUAUGUGUUGGGCUCAGAUUAGAGAGAUCAAGGGGAAUUUGACAGCAAGUUGGUUUCACAUGGGACUGGCUAAUGAUCAGCCCAGUGUCAUUUGGAAAUAAUUUGGGGAAUUAUGACAGAGAUGCUAAUAUACUACGUAACAAUAAGUCUUUAUUUCAUCCGACCAAGCUCUGUCACCACGUGGGUGCUUUCUGCCAGGCUGCCCGAGUUCUGCCCACCGCCACAUUAAGGUCCCAAGUAACACACAUAUUAGGUACAAAUGCUGCUUGGCCAAUGACUAGGAUUUCUCAUUUGCUAGCUCAGUCUUAAUUAUCAAAUCUAUAGAUUUUAUAAGACUUAUCUUAUAAAGGAUGCCUUCCACUGGCACCCUCUCUUGCCAGUGGAUCAUAUUGUGACUCCAGAGCAGAGACCAGAAGGAAGAGAGAAGGGACGACUUCUUUCUUGCCCUUGCUUAUAUAUGAGUCUCCCUGCUAUGAGUCACUUCCUGCCUGGAUCUUUUACUACAUUUCCCAGAAUCCUCCUUGACUUCUAGUCCCACCUAUCUUGCUUCCUCAAAUAAAGGCCAAGUAGUACUUUAUUUAUUAACCAAUAAAAGAGACAUAUGCAGAAAGACGUCCCCCAUCAACACUAUAUUUAUAUGAAGCUGCAAUGCUGUAUCAGGUGGUUCAGGGAUCCAGUAUGGAUCACUUAAAUACAAUUUUGAGGGAAUCUCACAUAUCUGCUUACAAUGAUGGAUUUCUAAAGACAUUCAGUGAUUCUGUCUCCUGAAAAUUAUGAGAUGUUAAGAACUGAAAAACAAACAAACAAACCUUUAGAGAUAGCACACAAUUUUUUUUCACACAAAGGCAAAGAGACCAGUAAAGCUCUUUACAUCACUAGUAAGUGGCAACAUCAGGGCCUGAGCUAAGCCUGUGAGAUGCACUCCAGGGCACCACUCACAUCACAGGAUCAUGUUUAUUAUGAACUCUUCAGGGUAGUCUGGCAAUCUGUAGACACGAGGAAGAGCAGAUACUGCCAUCUCGAGCCGGAAGACAUCUUCCUCUUCAAAGCAUCUCAUACUUUCUAUUGAGAUGCCUCCGAGUGCUUGUGCCCACUCACGUAGCAAAGGGCAACCUGAUCUCCCCCAAAUCUACUGAUUUCAAUGCUAGUCACACCUUUAAAAAAUACCUCACAGCCCUAUCUAUGUGUGCUUGACCAAAUAAAUAGGCACAUGGCCUACCAGACACAAAAUUAGCUAUCAUUAACCCUUCCUCAAUCCACACAGAAAAACAAAGAAUUUAUAUGUCAGAUUUUCAUUUGGGCUCAUUCCAUGCUUUGACACAUGUUGUUAAAGGCUUCAACUCCCACUUAACACUAGAUUUCAUAAGACAUGAAUAUCAUCUCACUCAACAUUUGUUGGAUCAUAAGAAAUUGGAUUUGUAGUUCCUUCUGGUCUGCAAAAUAUGGUUCAUGAGUAUAUCUUGUAUAAUCUUCACAAGUCACUUUAGUAGCACAAAUUUGAGCAGAAACAAGGCUAAGACUGUCACAUUAACAGGUAAUAAUCAAGAAGGAUCAGAUCCCCUGCCUCAGUGCCAUUGCUCAUCAAGGGCUAGGACAAGAAGUACCAGGUACUCAAAGACAGCAGAGGUCUUGUCAUUUCUAAAUCAAUCUACACCUGCAUGCAAGUUCAGAAUUAAUCACUGUCCACAAGUAGUGUUUAGGGCUUUUCAAAACUGUUUACUCAAUACUAAGUUUACACCUCAGAGAAUUUUCAUAAAAUUUCAUAAAAUUGUUACCAACAUGAAGAUAUGGGACAUGAUGGGGGUUGUCCUUCUGUAUGUAUGUUUCUCUUAUUGGUUGAUGACUAAAACACUGAUUGGCCAGUAGCCAGACAGGAAGCAUAGGCAGGGCUACCAGACCAGAAGAAGGCUAGGGAGAGGAAGGCAGAUGGGAGCCACCAGAGAGACGCCAUGUAGACACAGAAGAGUAACAUGCCAGGGUAUUACUGGGUAAGUCAAGAGCACAUGGAAAUUAAUUAGAUUAAUAAAUUAAAUUAAUCAGAUUAAUAGAAAUGGGUUAAUAAAUAAGAGACAGCUAGCCAGUAAGAAGCCCUAGGCAUCAGCCAAACAGUUUAUAAAUUAAUACAAGUCUUUGUGAGUUUAUUUGGGGCUAAUCGGCUGCGGGACCAGGCAGAACAGAAACUUUCAUCUACAGGGACAUGAUGGUCACCUCAGAAGCCCCUGCACCAAUGCCCACACCCUAGUCACCAUCUUUCAUAUAAAGUGAACUGAAGUCUACUCAGAUCUUCCCAACUCUGUAAAAAUGAAAUUCUCCUGCAUGUAGGUUUUUGGAUGUGGCAUCCUGAGUGGCAGAUUAUAUUUAUGAGAUUAAUUUAUUUGUUUGUUCAGUUCUGUUAUGUUGUAUAGCAGCCAACAGUAUAAAUUAAACACUGUUUAUUUAUUUGAUUAUCCAGUCAGCAAUUUGAAUGUUUUCCAGUUGGGGAGUUCUGAGAGUUGCUUCCAACAACCUCCCAUACAUAUUAUGGUUUUCCUAUGCAUGUGUCCUGUUCAGUGCCCAGACAUGAACUACUGGGUCAUACAUGUGCACACAUUCAGCUUUACUGGAAACUGCCAAAUAGCUUCCAAACAUGACUGUACCAAUUUGCACAACCUCAGUCAUUGGUGAGAUCUUUUGUUCUAGUUAAUGUCUCUGUGCAAUGUUAUACUUUACAUAAGUCAAUCUACAACACUAUAAAGUCUGCUUUCAAAACUUCAUAGGAAUUUUGCCAUGCUGAAGAUUUUUUGAGAUUUAUAACUGUUCAGAUAUAUAGUUUUAAUUUGUCUUUCACCACUAUACAACAUUCCAAUGUCUGAAAUCUGAAUCCUAUUGAUAAUCAUUGAGGUGACAUCUAUUUUUUCUCUAUUAUAGACAAUGACUAUAACUACUCUUUGGCCCAUGUGUGAGAAUUUCUCAGUAAUAUAAAUAGUAUACCUUCAGUUAUAUUAGAGAACUUCAAAUUGUUUUCUUUUGGGGUGGAGUUGGAAAAGAGUCUUUAUAUAUUGCCCUGGCUUGCCUCAAAUUUGUGAUCCUUCCCCUCAGCCUCCAGAAUAUGUGGGAUUAUAGUGUGUGUCAAAAAACACUGCUCAAAAAUUGCUUUCUGACAUGACUGCACUGACUUCCUUUACUACAGAUGGGCCCUGAGGAUGUCUGUUACUCCUGAGCCUUGCCAACAACUGGUAUAGUUAUGUUUUCCUACUGUUAAUCAGAUGAAUAUGUAAUGCUGUUUUUUGUUUUGUUUUUGAUUGUUUGUUUGUUUGUUUUUGAGACAGGGUUUCUCUGUGUAGCCCUGGCUGUCUUGGAACUCACUCUGUAGACGAGGCUGACCUCAAACUCAUAGGGAUUUGCCUGCCUCUGCCUCCCGAGUGCUGGGGUUAAAUGUGUAUGCCACCAUCACCUGGAAAGUAUAUAAUACUCUUAAUAACUAUUAUGAAUGUUUUCCAAAUACUUAAAUUUAUGAACAGGAAAACAGUUUCACCUCUGUUUCCAUAGGACUGUGUUCCUGUAAUCUUGAUGUUCUUCAUCUAAGUAGGACCCAAGAACCUGAAUGGCCAUGCUCAGGAAUGUCUAGAGCCUCUCUGCAGGGGAAGGUGCCCAGAGUACUUUGUAUGUAGUUGUGAUAACUGGUAGGGAAGUUAGCUCAUGUGUACUUACCUAUGUUACCUUCUCCCCAGCUAGAACAUGGGUUUCUGGAUUGAAAGAGACAGUGUCUAUGAAUAGUUUUAUAUUUCUGGAGCCCAGGCCAUCAUGGACUCAAUAAGUAUUCAAGGAUGUAGGGAAGAAAAGGAAAGAAUUAACACACACACUUCUUCUAUUCAAGCAUUUAUGUAUCUAGAAACAUAAGUAAGGCUUAUUUAUUGAAAUGCAAACCACACAUAUGUUCUUUUGGAUUAACUGUUAGGUGAUUUGAUAAUAUGUCUUCAGUUUUCAACUUGGACUAAUGGCAUGCCAGUACCCACUCUUUUAUAGCAUUUUCUAUAAAGAGGAAAACUCACCGAAAACCUUCAAGCACAUACUAAGGGUAUGGACAAACAUGAAACUGAUAUCAAAGACCAUAAGUAAGCAAGCAAAUGAUCAAGCGAACACUAGCAAAGGAUGCUCUCUGAAGAGGGAACAUUUGAGACGAGCAGCAAGGAGAAGCAAGAAGACAGUCUACUGGAAAAACAACUCAAGCACUAGGAAGUAGGCUAUCAAUAUUGUGCCUAUGUGUUGGUGGAAGUUUCUGUUCUGCCUGGUCCCAACACCCUUCAGUCUCAAAUAAACACACAGAAGCUUCUAUUAAUUAUAAACUCUUUGGCCAGUGGCUCAGGCUUCUUAUUGGCUAGCUCUUUUGUAAUUAUAAACCCGCUUCUAUUAACCAGUGAAUCUCCAUGUGGACUUAGCAGUGAUGCCCAAGCCUCUUGCUUCUAAGGCAACUAUAUGGUGUCUGGCCCGCAACUCACUCUCUGCCUUUCUUUUCCCAGAAUUUUCCUAGUCUGAUAGGCCCACCUAUAUUUCCUGCCUGACUACUGGCCAAUCAGUGUUUUAUUAAACCAAUAAGAGAAACAUAUAUUCACAGCAUAGAGAAGGACAUCUCCCAUCACCUAGGCAAGAUGUGAGACAGCUACCUCGGAGUUAUGUCAGUAAAGAAUGAAGCAAGUACAAGAUAGAUUGAGUAUCAGCAUCUAGAUAUGGAUGUAAGGGCUGGAGAGCAAGACAACUCAGGGAGUCAGCUUCGAAUAACAAUGAGAUGAUGAUGGCUCCAGAAGGACCACCCUUCGUGCAAGGCUCCCCUUGUACUGCAUCCACUACCCAUGCAACAUCUGUGUGACAUCACUAAGUGAAGCCCAUCAGCAAUUUACUGUGUUCAUUUUUAAAAUUAACAUCUUACAUUAGUGUAAUUUUAUUACAAUUAAUGUGCCAGUGCUGACAGAGCAUUAAUACAAACUCACAUUUGAUUCAGCUUACUCAUGCGCCUUUCUUUAAGGAUUCCAUCCAGAAAGCCACACUGCCUGCAGUCAUAUUUCCUCAGUUUCUCAUGGCUGUAUGAGUUCAUAAAACUCACCUGUUUUGCUAACCUUUGCAGUUUUGAGGUUAUUGAAUCAGUGGGGUCAGGACUUUUGCAGUACAUCCUUUGAUUGGAAUUUCUAUGCUUUUGGAAUCAUAACUGGACUUCAGAUGUGGGAGUCUACCAUAUGACUCUCACCAUAUAUGCUAAUAGCAUAACCAAUCAUUCUUGUUAGAGGGUCCAAGGUCAUCUCAUUUAUCAAUUUCUCUUGUCCAUGGCAUUCUACAUCAAGUCUCACCUACUGUCUCCAGUUCCAUUCCUAUUCACAGUAUCCCCCUUCAGUGUCCUGUCCG
rnacentral:lncRNA from 1 species